rnacentral:rRNA from 1 species
UGGGGAAUCUUGCGCAAUGGGCGAAAGCCUGACGCAGCGACGCCGCGUGAGCGAUGAAGGCCUUCGGGUUGUAAAGCUCUGUGGGGAGGAAAGAAUAAGGGCUGGCUAACAUCCAGCCUGAUGACGGUACCUCCUUAGCAAGCACCGGCUAACUCUGUGCCAGCAGCCGCGGUAAGACAGAGGGUGCAAACGUUGUUCGGAAUUACUGGGCGUAAAGCGCGUGUAGGCGGCCAAACAAGUCGGGCGUGAAAGCCCACGGCUCAACCGUGGAAGUGCACCCGAAACUGUGUGGCUAGAGUCCUGGAGAGGAAGGUGGAAUGCUUGGUGUAGAGGUGAAAUUCGUAGAUAUCAAGCGGAACACCGGUGGCGAAGGCGGCCUUCUGGACAGUGACUGACGCUG